AGUGAACGCUGGCGGUAGGCCUAACACAUGCAAGUCGAACGGCAGCACAGUAAGAGCUUGCUCUUACGGGUGGCGAGUGGCGGACGGGUGAGGAAUACAUCGGAAUCUACUUUUUCGUGGGGGAUAACGUAGGGAAACUUACGCUAGUACCGCAUACGACCUACGGGUGAAAGCAGGGGAUCUUCGGACCUUGCGCGAUUGAAUGAGCCGAUGUCGGAUUAGCUAGUUGGCGGGGUAAAGGCCCACCAAGGCGACGAUCCGUAGCUGGUCUGAGAGGAUGAUCAGCCACACUGGAACUGAGACACGGUCCAGACUCCUACGGGAGGCAGCAGUGGGGAAUAUUGGACAAUGGGCGCAAGCCUGAUCCAGCCAUACCGCGUGGGUGAGGAAGGCCUUCGGGUUGUAAAGCCCUUUUGUUGGGAAAGAAAAGCAGCAGGUUAAUACCCCGCUGUUCUGACGGUACCCAAAGAAUAAGCACCGGCUAACUUCGUG
rnacentral:rRNA from 1 species